UCCUGGUUUCCCAGGCAGUCCCAUCAGAGUGCCCCGAAGGUUGCAACUGAUGGCAGGAGUUGCGCUCGUUAAAGGACUUAACCCAACAUCUCACGACACGAGCUGACGACAGCCAUGCAGCACCUGUGCAAAUGUCUAGGCUUACGCCUAGAAGAUUGUAUCUCUACAACUGUCAUAUGCAUGUCAAACCCAGGUAAGGUUCCUCGCGUAGUGUCGAAUUAAACCACAUGUUCCACCGCUUGUGCGGACCCCCGUCAAUUCCUUUAAGUUUUAAUCUUGCGACCGUACUUCCCAGGCGGAUCACUUAACGCGUUAGCUACGACACCAACUCUGCAAAGCAAAGCUGACGUCUAGUGAUCAUCGUUUACAGCGUGGACUAC
rnacentral:misc_RNA from 1 species